rnacentral:rRNA from 1 species
AACGAACGCUGGCGGCAUGCCUAACACAUGCAAGUCGAACGAGACCUUCGGGUCUAGUGGCGCACGGGUGCGUAACGCGUGGGAACCUGCCCUUAGGUUCGGCAUAACUCCCCGAAAGGGGUGCUAAUACCGGAUAAUGUCUUCGGACCAAAGAUUUAUCGCCUUUGGAUGGGCCCGCGUUGGAUUAGCUAGUUGGUAGGGUAAAAGCCUACCAAGGCGACGAUCCAUAGCUGGUCUGAGAGGAUGAUCAGCCACACUGGGACUGAGACACGGCCCAGACUCCUACGGGAGGCAGCAGUGGGGAAUAUUGGACAAUGGGCGAAAGCAUGAUCCAGCAAUGCCGCGUGAGUGAUGAAGGCCUUAGGGUUGUAAAGCUCUUUUACCCGGGAUGAUAAUGACAGUACCGGGAGAAUAAGCUCCGGCUAACUCCGUG